CCUACGGGUGCAGCAGUGGGGAAUAUUGGACAAUGGGCGAAAGCCUGAUCCAGCCAUGCCGCGUGUGUGAAGAAGGCCUUCGGGUUGUAAAGCACUUUCAGUGGGGAAGAAAGCCUUGGGGCUAAUACCCUCGAGGAAGGACAUCACCCACAGAAGAAGCACCGGCUAACUCCGUGCCAGCAGCCGCGGUAAUACGGAGGGUGCGAGCGUUAAUCGGAAUUACUGGGCGUAAAGCGCGCGUAGGCGGUCUGAUAAGCCGGUUGUGAAAGCCCCGGGCUCAACCUGGGAACGGCAUCCGGAACUGUCAGGCUAGAGUGCAGGAGAGGAAGGUAGAAUUCCCGGUGUAGCGGUGAAAUGCGUAGAGAUCGGGAGGAAUACCAGUGGCGAAGGCGGCCUUCUGGACUGACACUGACGCUGAGGUGCGAAAGCGUGGGUAGCAAACAGGAUUAGAUACCCGAGUAGUC
rnacentral:rRNA from 1 species